CGAACGCUGGCGGCGUGCUUAACACAUGCAAGUCGAACGGAAAGGCCCUGCUUUUGUGGGGUGCUCGAGUGGCGAACGGGUGAGUAACACGUGAGUAACCUGCCCUUGACUUUGUGAUAACUUCAGGAAACUGGGGCUAAUACCGGAUAGGAGCUCCUGCUGCAUGGUGGGGGUUGGAAAGUUUCGGCGGUUGGGGAUGGACUCGCGGCUUAUCAGCUUGUUGGUGGGGUAGUGGCUUACCAAGGCUUUGACGGGUAGCCGGCCUGAGAGGGUGACCGGCCACAUUGGGACUGAGAUACGGCCCAGACUCCUACGGGAGGCAGCAGUGGGGAAUAUUGCACAAUGGGCGGAAGCCUGAUGCAGCAACGCCGCGUGCGGGAUGACGGCCUUCGGGUUGUAAACCGCUUUCGCCUGUGACGAAGCGUGAGUGACGGUAAUGGGUAAAGAAGCACCGGCUAACUACGUG
rnacentral:rRNA from 1 species